rfam:Danio rerio chromosome 17, GRCz11 reference primary assembly.
AUAUAAUGUAUUUGUAAGUCGCUUUGAACAAAAGCGUCUGCUAAAUGACUAAAU